GCCACGCGGACGGAAUGUCAGGGCCCGGCGACUGGCCAAACUGACCCAACAGGAUGUUUGCUGAAGGCGGCCAGCCGGUCAGAUCCGCCGGGGCAGGCGCGAGGCAUCGGAUCAGAACGGCUGGGUUCCUGUCGAGCCUGGGGACACUGGCCGGACGGGACGGGCAGAGAAGGUUGGCGAGGCCCUGGAGCCUCACUGGGUGUGGCCCAGGCGGGCGCGUCCCCCUCGCGCAGGCCUUGCCGGCUGAGCCGCCCGCGCGCCCACGCGUCCGCCACCUCGCGCACCUGCCGCGCUGCCGGGAGGUCUCCGGGUGCGGCGGACUCGCGCUCAGGUCACGGGUGACACACCAGGGCUCCGAGAGGUGACACACCAGGGUCUCAAAUGGCUGCUCUGCGGAAGUCGAGCCCCCAUCUUGUCGCCCCUGAACCCCGCGAGGGCCCAUUCUCGCCUGACAGGGCAGAGCGCGGCACUCACUGAGUCACCAAAGUCACAGGGAAUCCAAGGACAAAAUCAAAAGGAACUUUUCAAUUCGAGAAAACGAUACAAGUAGGAAGCCAGAAAACAAGCUCGACGUGAGCGCGCUGGUCGGCGCUGCUGAGGCGGCGCCUCGGGUCAGGGCCGCGGGCCGAGCGUCUUUGCGCCCCGCCACGAUGCGCACUCGGGCGCAGCCACUGCGGUUGUCGCGGGGUCACGACAGAAAAAAAUGAGAGAACAAAAUAAGAACAAAUCAAUAUUUCUUCAUGUAAACCUGUUGUAAAUCCUCCAUCUGUUGCAAUGUGCAAAUUCUUUGUAUUUUACAGAGUAGCAAAUUUUAAAAAAAUUUAAAACGGCAACUAUUUUUUGAAGACCUUCAUACAUCAUACGCACUAGAUUAUACAUAUCAUAUGUAACCCGUACACAUCUGUGUCAUCGUUCGUUGCCUAAACUAGAGCGGAAUUUUCUCUCUGCCCCAGGCUUACUCCCACAGGUAAUCGGCAGUAAAGUGUGGCUGGACCCUCUCAGCUUCUGUUUAAGCUGAGCUAAAACUGUAAUCCGGAUCCAUGUGCUCCGCAGCCUUUCCACUAAAUGAGACGAUGUAUAUAAAAUACUAGCAAGUGCCUGGGAGGUAGUAAUCGCUCAAGAAUCCUAGCUACAGUUUUCCAUUUUAUGUUAACAGCAACACUGUUAAAUUAGGAGAAUUCGUUAGUGAAUAUUUGUUCUAUAAAUGUUUUGUUCUUAGUCCUACACUACGUAUAGAAUGUACACAAGAGGUGUUUGAGAUCUGAAGGGUGUAGAAUGUUAUUUUAAUACGUACCUACGGUUAGAGAAAAACAUAAUGAGCAGAUAUUGGGUAUAAAUUUUAACACAUCAGGAUGUCAGGGUUGAUCUUCAAGGCUAUGGUGAUCUUGAACUUUCCACAUCCUCCAGGUGUUAUAAAUGAGCGUUCCCUUGAUAGUAAUAAAACCAAAUUUUACUAGGACAGUGUGGCAGCUUCUGCGUGGGUCCCUGUCACCACCAGGCGCGUGGGGCAGGCCUGCCUGCCAUCUCAGGGUAUUUGAGGAAAACAUCCCCGACAUGAGACCUGCCUCACUGGAGUAACCGACUGAAAGUCACAGAGGACUGAGCUUCCACUGUCUCCCCCCUCGGACCAGCCUCUACUCCACCACAAGGCACUCGCUCUCUCCUGAAGCUGGUCAUUUCAUCCUCAAACAGCUUUAGCUUCUGGAAAGUUCUGACCAUUCCCUCAUUUACAUGAAACUUGCCAGAAGAGUAAAAUCUGAGUUUAGCCUUCAAACAGGGAUGACCUAGUUGAUUGUUGUUUUAAAAGUUAGAGUUCCUACACCAGUGAAUUUUCAGGAGCCCUAUUAGCCAAUAAGCGCAAUUCAGGCUCAAAUUAGUUGUUUUCUCCAUCGAAGGAUUCAGAGGCGGACAGUUCUUCAGCCAUGUCCAGAAAUUAAUCUUUUGUGUCAGGGUUGUGUUUUGGGGACACUGGAAUGUACAAAGUGCACUCUUACGAGCUUUGACCAGCACGACUCCGUUUUAUGAAAUUCAUGAAUGAAUGAAUGAAUGACAACAAAGUCCUGCAACUCCUGAGAAGUGCGUCUCAGAAUUCCAGAAUGCCUGAAGGCCUCUCCCCUAGAAAUAACACAAAGUGUUUAGAACGCUCUGGAGUUCAGCUUUGUGAUGGAGCAGGCCCGGCUUUCUUCUUCCAGGCCGUCCUGGGUUUGCAGUUCAGCUUGUGCUGGAAAAUUUGAAAGCACAGAAAUGCGGAUAUGGACAUGGCAGACGGAAAGAGAGCCCGAGUCUGGGCAAGGCUGGGCUCUUCGCGGAGAUAGAGAAGGUGAUCGUGUUAUUCGUUGAAGCAUUGACUUGCUUUCGCUGUUUCGUUUGCAGUGUCCUUGAAGGCACUGUCACCGGCCCCUGGCUUUGUUUCGUAACCCGUUUUAUGGCUUUUGACUCUAUCGUGGUGCUCGCGGUGUUUGGGGAUCCCAGGUGUCUGGCUGAUGUGUAAGGUUUGGCUUAUCCAGCUCAGCUCCUUGGCUCAUCCCGACCCUAACCACUGUCAGGGCCCCUUGCCUGGCACCCCUGGGUCCCUCCCACAGACAAACUCAGAGCUCCUUUUCAUUUAAAAAGUUUUGUUACUGAUCACGUCUGGAAAAAUCCAAAAGACAUGAAUGAAACGGGAAGGGCCUCUCCUGCUUCUGACUUUGGUACCGAGGAGGACAGCUCUGAGCCCGGAGGUGAGUUGUCUAACUAUCCGGGUUGGGGCACAGGCUGGGGUCCUUCCAGGACACUGUGACUAUGAUUGUAAUCUUAGCUCGAAAAAGUAACAAUGAUGGAGUGUCAAAUUAUUUGAAAAGGUCUCUUCAGUUCCCUGCACACUACGCCAUGUGUGACACGUCCCUCUUGUUUGCCAACAGCCAGGAACCCCUCGAAUUCUUUUGCGCAGGGCCGCUGCACUGCGCAUCAGGCGUCGGGAACACUGGGACCACAGCGGGUCCUCCAAGUGCUGCGCUGGUUCCAAGGUGGCUGGGGCGUGACUUCGGCCUGGCCAUGUUAGCGACCCUGCUCCGUUUCCUCUUGGCCCCCUGGCCUGCAGGGAUACUUACAAAGCCCUUUGUUUUCCUCUCGGAGGUUUGGACACCGUCCACCCUCCUAACGGGCCGAGCCCAGGCCGCAGAUGCAGCAGCUGGGGCAUCGCACACACCUGGCUGCUCGCUGUUCUGGGCUCUCCGUGCGUCACCUGGCACCUGCGGGUCCUGUUCCAUUCCCCAGCGUCCUGCCUCCCAAACACCAGAAGCCCCUCGGCAAGGUUGGGGACUCUCUGGGUACCCCACAAGGUAGACAAUCGGGUAACCACCAGAGGCCCACCCCCGGCCGGUCACCUCCGGACACCGGGACCCCAGCCAAGCCUACGGAUGCACCGAGGCCCUGCGCGCGGGUGGACACUGCUCCAAGGACACGGGGUC